CGGGAUAUAGCGUAGUCCGGUUAUCGCGCCUGCUUUGGGAGCAGGAGAUCCCCAGUUCGAAUCUGGGUGUCCCGACCA
rnacentral:tRNA from 1 species